GUGUCUGUAUAUAUAUAUAUAUUUGUCAUGGAAGAUUCUAGAACAGUCUAUAAUGGAACAUCCUAGAAAGUUACAACAGAAGUUUCUAGUAAAAUGUAGAAGUUUAUAUAAUGCAUCUUUUAUUAGGAUCAUUCUGGAAAGUUCCAAUCAUUCUGUAAUUGUUCCAGAGAUUUCUACACUGCACAAUUCUAAAAUUAUUCUGUAAACAACUAUCAGGCCACACAAUACAAAUCAGGCC
rnacentral:lncRNA from 1 species